rnacentral:rRNA from 1 species
UACGUAGGGGGCAAGCGUUGUCCGGAAUUAUUGGGCGUAAAGCGCGCGCAGGCGGUCAUUUAAGUCUGGUGUUUAAGCCCGGGGCUCAACCCCGGUUCGCAUCGGAAACUGGAUGACUUGAGUGUAGGAGAGGAAAGUGGAAUUCCACGUGUAGCGGUGAAAUGCGUAGAUAUCCUGAGGAACACCGGUGGCGAAAGCGGCGCGCUGGACCCCUUCUGACGCUGAGGCGCGAAAGCCAGGGGAGCAAACGGG